AUGCCCCAGAGGAGGGUCCGCUCCGCCGAGGGGGCUGCGAAGGAGGAGCCCAAGAGGAGAUCGGCGAGGUUGUCAGCUAAACCGGCUCCUGCAAAAGUGGAAACGAAGCCAAAAAAGGCGGCGGGAAAGGAUAAAUCUUCAGAUUAAAAAGUGCAAACAAAAGGGAAAAGAGGAGCAAAGGGAAAACAGGCGGAAGUGGCCAACCAAGAGACUAAAGAAGACUUGCCUGCAGAAAAUGGAGAGACUAAAAACGAGGAGAGCCCAGCCUCUGAUGAAGCAGAAGAGAAAGAAGCCAAGUCUGAUUAAUAACCACACGCUCAGUCCUGUCAGUGGUCCCUGUUUCCCUUCUUGUACAAUCCAGAGGAAUAUUUUUAUCAACUAUUUUGUAAAUGCAAGUUUUUUAGUAGCUCUAGAAACAUUUUUAAAAAGGAGGGAAUCCCACCUCAUCCCAUUUUUUAAGUGUAAAUGCUUUUUUUUAAGAGGUGAAAUCAUUUGCUGGUUGUUUAUUUUUUGGUACAACCAGAAAAUAGUGGGAUAUUGGAUAUGGGAGGCUUUGAUUGUCUUGGGUGUCAGCUUAACAUUCCAUAGAUGGGGGGUAGCUUUUAUAUCCUAUAAUACAAAAGCAUACUAAAUGGCA